rnacentral:rRNA from 1 species
UACGGGGGGGGCAAGCGUUGUUCGGAUUUACUGGGCGUAAAGGCGCGUAGGCGGCGCAACAAGUCACUUGUGAAAUCUCCGGGCUUAACCCGGAGCGGUCAAGUGAUACUGUCGUGCUAGAGUGCGGAAGGGGCUACUGGAAUUCUCGGUGUAGCGGUGAAAUGCGUAGAUAUCGAGAGGAACACCUGCGGCGAAGGCGGGUAGCUGGGCCGACACUGACGCUGAUGCGCGAAAGCCAGGGGAGCGAACGGG